rnacentral:rRNA from 1 species
AUAAGAGGUCCCGCCUGCCCCGUGACAAUAAGUUUAACGGCCGCGGUAUUUUGACCGUGCAAAGGUAGCGCAAUCACUUGUCUUUUAAAUGAAGACCCGUAUGAAAGGCACCACGAGGGCUUAACUGUCUCCUUUUUCCCGUCAAUGAAAUUGAUCUUCCCGUGAAGAAGCGGGAACACACUCAUAAGACGAGAAGACCCUAUGGAGCUUUAGGCUCUAGAACAGACUAUGUCAAGAACCCCAAAACAAAGAACAGAACUUAUUAAUUCCUGUCCUACAUGCCUUUGGUUGGGGCGACCACGGGGAAACAACCAACCCCCAUGUGGACUGAGAACACCACCCUUUCGUUUCUCUCAAAACCCAGGACCACCCUCCUAAGUAACAGAAUUUCUGACCUAAUAUGAUCCGGCACAACCGAUCCACGGACCCAGUUACCCUAGGGAUAACAGCGCAAUCCCCUUCUAGAGCCCAUAUCGACAAGAGGGUUUACGACCUCGAUGUUGGAUCAGGACAUCCUAUUGGUGUAACCGCUAUUUAGGGUUCGUUUGUUCAACGAU